CCUGUUUCCCUGCUACGAAUCUGUAAAGCCACGUUGACUGACAUCAUCAGACACUUUGAUGAGAACGGUGCAAAACCCCGCUUGAGGAAAAAGAGCCACCAGCCACAGGAUCCCCAUUUUAUCAGCAGUGAGCAACUCCCCUGAGUUUUGGAGUUCAUAAAGAACUACGCUGAGGAUCACGCCAUCAUGUUGCCUGGUCGACAUCGUGGCCACAGGGAUUGGCAUGUGAAGCUACUGCCAACACAUGUGUCAAAGGGCUCAGUGUGGCGCCGCUAUAUGAAGUCUGCUAAGGAGUUGGUGAGCGUGCAAUUUGCAAAUCAAGUUUCAAGGCGCUUUGGACCCAGCUACUCCCACACAUAAGAAGCUGUAGGCCCCACACUGACCUCUGCUGGCAGCGCCAACAGAAUAAUGACCAGCUUAUAAGAAGUGCAAACCUUCCAGAGGAGAGGAAGACUGCAGCAAUCAAGAAGCAACAGGAUCAUCUUCAGCUUGUUCAAAAAGAGAGGGCCGUCUACAACGAGAUGACUGCUGCCUGCAAAAAGACCUGCGACGACAAUCAGUUGUCCAUCGGCCCCUCCCUACCUUCAAGUAAGAAGAUCAGGAUGGACUACAGCUUUGACUUUGCACAGCAGCUUUGAUGCCAACAGACCUUGUGUGGUCCUAGCUAGGACUCACAGUGACGCAGAGCCUGUUAGCUUUCAGCUGCUGUGUGACCUGGAAGUUCUACCCCCUGUCGUCUGUGGUUCUGCCCUGCCUGCACCUGGACUGUCCACGGACAGACAGACUUAUCUUUAUUCAAAGAUCAGGCCUUUCUGUCCCGAUGAAGCGAAGGACGUUACAUGCCCAGAACCACAAAGCACAACAGAAUAGAACCCAGAAGAGGAUGAUGGUGUGACACUGUGACAUUGGCGUUUUGGCAAUUUGUAAUGUGUAUAAAGUUGUAAAUAAAAAUCACAUUUGUGACAUGAUCAAAGUCAA